rnacentral:rRNA from 1 species
AUUGAACGCUGGCGGCAGGCCUAACACAUGCAAGUCGAGCGGAUGCAGGGAGCUUGCUCCUGGAUUCAGCGGCGGACGGGUGAGUAAUGCCUAGGAAUCUGCCUGGUCGUGGGGGAUAACGUCCGGAAACGGGCGCUAAUACCGCAUACGUCCUGAGGGAGAAAGUGGGGGAUCUUAGGACCUCACGCUAUCAGAUGAGCCUAGGUCGGAUUAGCUAGUUGGUGGGGUAAAGGCCUACCAAGGCGACGAUCCGUAACUGGUCUGAGAGGAUGAUCAGCCACACUGGAACUGAGACACGGUCCAGACUCCUACGGGAGGCAGCAGUGGGGAAUAUUGGACAAUGGGCGAAAGCCUGAUCCAGCCAUGCCGCGUGUGUGAAGAAGGUCUUCGGAUUGUAAAGCACUUUAAGUUGGGAGGAAGGGCAGUGAGUUAAUACCGUGCGGUUUUGACGUUACCAGCAGAAUAAGCACCGGCUAACUUCGUG